UUAAGCGACUAAGCGUACACGGUGGAUGCCCUGGCAGUCAGAGGCGAUGAAGGGCGUGCUAAUCUGCGAUAAGCGCCGGUAAGGUGAUAUGAACCGUUAUAACCGGCGAUACCCGAAUGGGGAAACCCAGUGUGACUCGUCACACUAUCAUUAACUGAAUCCAUAGGUUAAUGAGGCGAACCGGGGGAACUGAAACAUCUAAGUACCCCGAGGAAAAGAAAUCAACCGAGAUUCCCCCAGUAGCGGCGAGCGAACGGGGAGGAGCCCAGAGCCUGAAUCAGCAUGUGUGUUAGUGGAAGCGUCUGGAAAGGCGCGCGAUACAGGGUGACAGCCCCGUACACAAAAGCGCAUGUGCUGUGAGCUCGAUGAGUAGGGCGGGACACGUGGUAUCCUGUCUGAAUAUGGGGGGACCAUCCUCCAAGGCUAAAUACUCCUGACUGACCGAUAGUGAACCAGUACCGUGAGGGAAAGGCGAAAAGAACCCCGGCGAGGGGAGUGAAAAAGAACCUGAAACCGUGUACGUACAAGCAGUGGGAGCACCCUUUGGGGUGUGACUGCGUACCUUUUGUAUAAUGGGUCAGCGACUUAUAUUCUGUAGCAAGGUUAACCGUAUAGGGGAGCCGCAGGGAAACCGAGUCUUAACCGGGCGUUAAGUUGCAGGGUAUAGACCCGAAACCCGGUGAUCUAGCCAUGGGCAGGUUGAAGGUUGGGUAACACUAACUGGAGGACCGAACCGACUAAUGUUGAAAAAUUAGCGGAUGACCUGUGGCUGGGGGUGAAAGGCCAAUCAAACCGGGAGAUAGCUGGUUCUCCCCGAAAGCUAUUUAGGUAGCGCCUCGUGAAUUCAUCUCCGGGGGUAGAGCACUGUUUCGGCUAGGGGGCCAUCCCGGCUUACCAACCCGAUGCAAACUGCGAAUACCGGAGAAUGUUAUCACGGGAGACACACGGCGGGUGCUAACGUCCGUCGUGAAGAGGGAAACAACCCAGACCGCCAGCUAAGGUCCCAAAGUCAUGGUUAAGUGGGAAACGAUGUGGGAAGGCCCAGACAGCCAGGAUGUUGGCUUAGAAGCAGCCAUCAUUUAAAGAAAGCGUAAUAGCUCACUGGUCGAGUCGGCCUGCGCGGAAGAUGUAACGGGGCUAAACCAUGCACCGAAGCUGCGGCAGCGACGCUGAUGCGUUGUUGGGUAGGGGAGCGUUCUGUAAGCCUGUGAAGGUGGCCUGUGAGGGUUGCUGGAGGUAUCAGAAGUGCGAAUGCUGACAUAAGUAACGAUAAAGCGGGUGAAAAGCCCGCUCGCCGGAAGACCAAGGGUUCCUGUCCAACGUUAAUCGGGGCAGGGUGAGUCGACCCCUAAGGCGAGGCCGAAAGGCGUAGUCGAUGGGAAACGGGUUAAUAUUCCCGUACUUGGUGUUACUGCGAAGGGGGGACGGAGAAGGCUAUGUUGGCCGGGCGACGGUUGUCCCGGUUUAAGCGUGUAGGUGUGUGUUCCAGGUAAAUCCGGUUCACUUUAACACUGAGGCGUGAUGACGAGGCACUACGGUGCUGAAGCAACAAAUGCCCUGCUUCCAGGAAAAGCCUCUAAGCAUCAGGUAACAUCAAAUCGUACCCCAAACCGACACAGGUGGUCAGGUAGAGAAUACCAAGGCGCUUGAGAGAACUCGGGUGAAGGAACUAGGCAAAAUGGUGCCGUAACUUCGGGAGAAGGCACGCUGACACGUAGGUGAAGUGAUUUACUCAUGGAGCUGAAGUCAGUCGAAGAUACCAGCUGGCUGCAACUGUUUAUUAAAAACACAGCACUGUGCAAACACGAAAGUGGACGUAUACGGUGUGACGCCUGCCCGGUGCCGGAAGGUUAAUUGAUGGGGUCAGCGCAAGCGAAGCUCCUGAUCGAAGCCCCGGUAAACGGCGGCCGUAACUAUAACGGUCCUAAGGUAGCGAAAUUCCUUGUCGGGUAAGUUCCGACCUGCACGAAUGGCGUAAUGAUGGCCAGGCUGUCUCCACCCGAGACUCAGUGAAAUUGAACUCGCUGUGAAGAUGCAGUGUACCCGCGGCAAGACGGAAAGACCCCGUGAACCUUUACUAUAGCUUGACACUGAACAUUGAGCCUUGAUGUGUAGGAUAGGUGGGAGGCUUUGAAGUGUGGACGCCAGUCUGCAUGGAGCCGACCUUGAAAUACCACCCUUUAAUGUUUGAUGUUCUAACGUGGACCCGUGAUCCGGGUUGCGGACAGUGUCUGGUGGGUAGUUUGACUGGGGCGGUCUCCUCCUAAAGAGUAACGGAGGAGCACGAAGGUUGGCUAAUCCUGGUCGGACAUCAGGAGGUUAGUGCAAUGGCAUAAGCCAGCUUGACUGCGAGCGUGACGGCGCGAGCAGGUGCGAAAGCAGGUCAUAGUGAUCCGGUGGUUCUGAAUGGAAGGGCCAUCGCUCAACGGAUAAAAGGUACUCCGGGGAUAACAGGCUGAUACCGCCCAAGAGUUCAUAUCGACGGCGGUGUUUGGCACCUCGAUGUCGGCUCAUCACAUCCUGGGGCUGAAGUAGGUCCCAAGGGUAUGGCUGUUCGCCAUUUAAAGUGGUACGCGAGCUGGGUUUAGAACGUCGUGAGACAGUUCGGUCCCUAUCUGCCGUGGGCGCUGGAGAACUGAGGGGGGCUGCUCCUAGUACGAGAGGACCGGAGUGGACGCAUCACUGGUGUUCGGGUUGUCAUGCCAAUGGCACUGCCCGGUAGCUAAAUGCGGAAGAGAUAAGUGCUGAAAGCAUCUAAGCACGAAACUUGCCCCGAGAUGAGUUCUCCCUGAGACUUAGAGUCUCCUGAAGGAACGUUGAAGACGACGACGUUGAUAGGCCGGGUGUGUAAGCGCAGCGAUGCGUUGAGCUAACCGGUACUAAUGAACCGUGAGGCUUAACCUU
rnacentral:rRNA from 1 species